AACAGGAUUAGAUACCCUGGUAGUCCACGCCGUAAACGAUGUCGACUUGGAGGUUGUGCCCUUGAGGCGUGGCUUCCGGAGCUAACGCGUUAAGUCGACCGCCUGGGGAGUACGGCCGCAAGGUUAAAACUCAAAUGAAUUGACGGGGGCCCGCACAAGCGGUGGAGCAUGUGGUUUAAUUCGAUGCAACGCGAAGAACCUUACCUACUCUUGACAUCCAGAGAACUUAGCAGAGAUGCUUUGGUGCCUUCGGGAACUCUGAGACAGGUGCUGCAUGGCUGUCGUCAGCUCGUGUUGUGAAAUGUUGGGUUAAGUCCCGCAACGAGCGCAACCCUUAUCCUUUGUUGCCAGCGGUUAGGCCGGGAACUCAAAGGAGCCUGCCAGUGAUAAACUGGAGGAAGGUGGGGAUGACGUCAAGUCAUCAUGGCCCUUACGAGUAGGGCUACACACGUGCUACAAUGGCGCAUACAAAGAGAAGCGACCUCGCGAGAGCAAGCGGACCUCAUAAAGUGCGUCGUAGUCCGGAUUGGAGUCUGCAACUCGACUCCAUGAAGUCGGAAUCGCUAGUAAUCGUGGAUCAGAAUGCCACGGUGAAUACGUUCCCGGGCCUUGUACACACCGCCCGUCACACCAUGGGAGUGGGUUGCAAAAGAAGUAGGUAGCUUAACCUUCGGGAGGGCGCUUACCACUUUGUGAUUCAUGACUGGGGUGAAGUCGUAACAAGGUAACC
rnacentral:rRNA from 1 species